UGGCUGUCGUCAGCUCGUGUCGUGAGAUGUUCGGUUAAGUCCGCCAACGAGCGCAACCCUCGCUGUGUGUUACAAGUGUCACACGGAACUGCCGGUCAUAAACCGGAGGAGGUGGGAUGACGUCAAGUCAGCAUGGCCUUUAUAUCCUGGGCUACACACACGCUACAAUGGGAAGGGACAAUAGGUUGCGAAGCCGCGAGGCGGAGCCAAUCCAGCAAAACUUCCCUCAGUUCAGAUUGCAGGCUGCAACUCGCCUGCAUGAAGUUGGAGUUGCUAGUAAACGCAGGUCAGCCAUACUGCGUUGAAUACGUUCCCGGGGCUU
rnacentral:rRNA from 1 species